rnacentral:rRNA from 1 species
GAUGAACGCUAGCUACAGGCUUAACACAUGCAAGUCGAGGGGCAGCACGGCGGAUGCUUGCAUCCGCUGGUGGCGACCGGCGCACGGGUGCGUAACACGUAUCCAAUCUACCCAUGGCUCAGGGAUAGCCUUUCGAAAGAAAGAUUAAUACCUGAUGGUCUUACAUGGAGACAUCUCCUAGUAAGUAAAGAUUUAUCGGCGAUGGAUGAGGAUGCGUCUGAUUAGGUAGAUGGCGGGGUAACGGCCCACCAUGCCGACGAUCAGUAGGGGUUCUGAGAGGAAGGUCCCCCACAUUGGAACUGAGACACGGUCCAAACUCC